GACACCUUGUUGUAGAAAUGGAAGGGGCAUAAAGACUUACAGAGAACAAUUAUAUAACAAGAUCAAAAUUAUUGAAAGGGGUCAUAGGGAAGAGCGGGCAGUAGUAGGAGGGCUGUGCGUCCUGUCUCGGGAAAGAGUCUCCAAGCCGGCUGGGACAGCUCUUCCUCUUUGAAAUGUUUUUGUUUAGGAUUUGCCAACCCACGUGAGAACCUUAGCUUGACAAGGUCAAGGACCAUGCCUUGCUCACUCCUGGAUCCCUGGUUCCUGCAACAGUGCCUGACACAUGGUGGAAGGCCCAUGGGUACAAGAACUGACGAAUGAAUGAGCACAUGACCCUGGGGUGUGUGAGGAACUGUGGGAAGAACGGCCUAUCUGGGAAGAAGUGUGUGUCCUUGAGGAGUAGGGGACUCUCCAACAGACCAGCAGAUGGGGCACCUAAGUAGGCCUGCAUGGGAUUCAAACCACGGGGCAGGCGAACCUAGCUGAACAGGGUAUGGGCACCACUGAAAACUGCCAAGGACGACCCUGUAUAGAGUGCAACAGGGGACUUGAAUCUGAAAUUAAACUAAAGCACAAACUAAACAAAAUUGUUCUGCACUGUGCUUGGUCAGCCAACAGCUAUGCUUAAAAAAGAAAAAAGAUCUGCUCAGUUCUUGUUAAGAACACAGUAAAAUGUUAAUGGGAUCACAAGACUUAUGACUACCUACAACGAUCACCUUCACC